AGUUCCCUGCAGGUGAGGGAUUUUUUUUUUUUUCCAGAAAGAAAACUGUUAGCUCUGCCCUGAAGAUGAGUCCCACAGAGGUUUUGCAGGGUGGAGUUACCGAGAAAUUGACUUCGGGGGUGAGUUGUUGAACCCCUGCCGAUGUGAUGGGUCAGUUCGGUAUACACAUCAGCUGUGCCUGCUAAAAUGGAUCAGUGAGAGAGGUUCCUGGACCUGUGAACUUUGCUGUUAUAGAUACCAUGUUAUAGCCAUUAAAAUGAAACAACCUUGCCAGUGGCAGAGCAUUUCUAUAACACUGGUUGAGAAAGUUCAGAUGAUUGCUGUAAUCCUAGGAUCCCUGUUCUUAAUAGCCAGUGUGACUUGGCUCCUCUGGUCAGCCUUCAGCCCCUAUGCAGUGUGGCAGAGGAAGGACAUCCUUUUUCAGAUCUGCUAUGGAAUGUAUGGUUUUAUGGAUCUAGUGUGCAUAGGU
rnacentral:lncRNA from 1 species